UAUGGAAGGCAGCAGGGGGAAUAUUGCACAAUGGGCGCAAGCCUGAUGCAGCCAUGCCGCGUGUAUGAAGAAGGCCUUCGGGUUGUAAAGUACUUUCAGUCGUGAGGAAGGUGUUAAGGUUAAUAACCUUAGCAAUUGACGUUAGCGACAGAAGAAGCACCGGCUAACUCCGUGCCAGCAGCCGCGGUAAUACGGAGGGUGCGAGCGUUAAUCGGAAUUACUGGGCGUAAAGGGCACGCAGGCGGUUAAUUAAGUUGGAUGUGAAAUCCCCGGGCUUAACCUGGGAAUGGCAUUCAAGACUGGUUAGCUAGAGUCUUGUAGAGGGGGUAGAAUUCCAUGUGUAGCGGUGAAAUGCGUAGAGAUGUGGAGGAAUACCGGGUGGCGAAGGCGGCCCCUGGGACAAAGACUGACGCUCAUGUGCGAAAGCGUGGGGAGCAAACAGGGAUUAGAUACC
rnacentral:rRNA from 1 species